rnacentral:snRNA from 1 species
AUGCUCCCUUUGGCAGCACAUGUACUAAAAUUGGAAUGAUACAGAGAAGAUUAGCAUGGCCCCUCUGCAAGGAUGACACGCAAAUUCAUGAAGCAUUCCUUUGUUUU